CAGCGAUGGCGCAGCGGGGGACGUCGUGGGGACGCAGAGGGGGGCGUCGGGGGCACGAGGGGUGACGGCGAUGGCGCUGGAGAUGGCCCCGUGGGGGACAGGAGGUGGCAGCAAUGGCACGAGGGGUGACAGCUGUGACACGAGGGGGGGCAGCGGUGGCACGAGGAGUGGCCCCGGUGGCGCUGGAGAUGGCAUCGUGGGGACGGGAGGUGGCACCGAUGGCACUGGAGGUGGCCCUAUGGGGACAGGAGGUGGCACCGAUGGCACGAGAGGUGACAGCAAUGACACGGGAGAUGACAGCAAUGGCACGAAAGGUGACAGCAAUGACGCAGGAGGUGACACCGACGGCACUGGAGAUGGCCCCAUGGGGACAGGAGGUGGCACCACGGAUGGGGGACAGGGCAGCAGUGACACGAGAGGUGACAUCAGUGACACAAAGGGUGUCCCCAAAGGCCCUGGAGAUGACCCCAUGGGACGUGGGAUGCCACCACCGACGCAGGACAGGGCAGCAGUGACACCAGAGGUGACAGCAACGACACGGGAGGUGACAC
rnacentral:lncRNA from 1 species